rnacentral:rRNA from 1 species
GAUGAACGCUAGCUACAGGCUUAACACAUGCAAGUCGAGGGGUAGCAGGGUAGCAAUACCGCUGACGACCGGCGCACGGGUGAGUAACACGUAUCCAACCUUCCCAUAACUCGGGGAUAGCCUUUCGAAAGAAAGAUUAAUACCCGAUAGUACUUUUUCAAGGCAUCUUGAGAAAGUUAAAGAUUUAUUGGUUAUGGAUGGGGAUGCGUUCCAUUAGAUAGUUGGUGAGGUAACGGCUCACCAAGUCUUCGAUGGAUAGGGGAUCUGAGAGGAAGGUCCCCCACAUUGGUACUGAGACACGGACCAAACUCCUACGGGAGGCAGCAGUGAGGAAUAUUGGUCAAUGGGCGAGAGCCUGAACCAGCCAAGUAGCGUGAAGGAUGAAGGUCCUAUGGAUUGUAAACUUCUUUUAUAGUAGAAUAAAGUGAUCCACGUGUGGAUUUUUGUAUGUAUACUAUGAAUAAGGAUCGGCUAACUCCGUGCCAGCAGCCGCAGUAAUAC